rnacentral:rRNA from 1 species
UUCCAAGCUACAAAGAGCCAACGGUGAAUGCCUUGGCGCCAAUAACCGAAGAAGGACGUGGAUGACUGCGAAAAGUUACGGUGAGCCGUCUAUCAGGCUUUGACCCGUAAAUGUCCGAAUGAGGAAACUCUGCACCCGUCAUGGGGUGCAACUCUGAAGUGAAUACAUAGCUUCAGUGGAGGGAACCGGGAGAAUUGAAACAUCUCAGUACCCCGAGGAAUGAAAAGCAAACGCGACUCCCUUAGUAGCGGCGAGCGAAGAGGGAAGAGACUAAACCGUGCUGGCGCAAUAGCCUGAUGGCGUUGCCAGUACGGUGUCGUGGGACGACUAGACACUGCAUCAGAAGUGUCGCGAAGUUACAAAGUUGCUAGGUAGAAGAAUUGUCUGGGAAGACAAGCCACAGUGGGUAAGAGCCCCGUAUUCGAAACUUAUGCAGCCUUCGAGUCCAAUCCCAAGUAAUGCCGGAUCCGAGCAAUCUGGCAUGAAUCCGUGGGGACCACCCCAUAAGUCUAAGUAUUUAUUGGCGACCGAUAGUGAACCAGUACCGUGAGGGAAAGGUGAAAAGAACCCCGGGAGGGGAGUGAAAUAGUACCUGAAACCGU